GAUGAACGCUGGCGGCGUGCCUAAUACAUGCAAGUCGAGCGAACAGAUGAGGAGCUUGCUCCUCUGACGUUAGCGGCGGACGGGUGAGUAACACGUGGAUAACCUACCUAUAAGACUGGGAUAACUUCGGGAAACCGGAGCUAAUACCGGAUAAUAUAUUGAACCGCAUGGUUCAAUAGUGAAAGACGGUUUUGCUGUCACUUAUAGAUGGAUCCCGGCCGCAUUAGCUAGUUGGUAAGGUAACGGCUUACCAAGGCAACGAUGCGUAGCCGAGCUGAGAGGGUGAUCGGCCACACUGGAACUUAGACACGGUCCAUACUCCUACGGGAGGCAGCAGUAGGGAAUCUUCCGCAAUGGGCGAAAGCCUGACGGAGCAACGCCGCGUGAGUGAUGAAGGUCUUCGGAUCGUAAAACUCUGUUAUUAGGGAAGAACAAAUGUGUAAGUAACUAUGCACGUCUUGACGGUACCUAAUCAGAAAGCCACGGCUAACUACGUG
rnacentral:rRNA from 1 species